AAAGUACAUAUCGCGGAAUUUUAACGUUCCCUCGUCGCAUCAUAUCGAAAUUUCGUCUUUUUGAUUGAUAUCUUAGUUCCGGAGAGAAAUCUCAAACAUGUCGAUGAUAAAUCUCUGCAUUUCUGCGAUAUUCCGCCCCGUCGAGAUAGCUUCUCGGCUGGGAUUUUACGAGCGUGCAGUGUGCGAUUUCGUCGCAUACACCGCGGUACAGGUCGGAAUCUUCGCGAGCUUUAUUGUUCGUAAUCCAACCCGUAUUUGCCGAACGUCUGAUAAGUCCAACGAACCCCUUUCAUUCGCUCCGCGACGUUUACUCCUCUCGUACUGCAUCCUAACCGCGCACAUGUGUGUCCCUGCGACAAGAGUACGUAGCUGCGAGUUCUCUCGUAUACUCAAUAUUUACCCACCUACAGUUAAUCUGGUGUAGAUAACCCAGUUCGGAGACGAUUGCACGUAAAGCAAGAACCGACGCGACGAGGCAGAGAACGCGUAUGGCCCGGGACGGUUGUCGAUCUUUUAAUGACGGCGUAGAUAACGGAAACACGGGAGUAGUUGCACGUGAAGACUGACGGUUGAUUAAACGUUCCCUCGACAUGCGCAAUUUUUCUAACGAUCGACGAUUUUUUUUUCAAACUACGUUUUCUGUUUAAGGUGUGUCGCUUCUCGUUACAUCUUUCGCGACGACAAAAUAAAUAAGGAAGUGAUAAUAAAUUUUUGCAUGAGGUACAUUUUCCAUGACGCCCCACGCCGCUUAAUCUAAUUAUUAAAACACGAAUUAUAAGUAAGUUUUGUUUAAUUUUCAAGAGAUAGGUCCUGCGUGCUUAUGUGUGCUCAUAUUUAUUCCCUUCUCCGGCACGGGCAUUUAUUUUGUCCCGCAGGUUUUCCGCGGACUCGUGUUUAUGCAACAUAUUUCGAGAUUACCUCAUGGUAAACCAGCAACCUUGCAAAGAUGUAAAUCCUCCGAGCGCGAACAUCCGAAAUGCCAGCGCUUUUUAGUCUCCGACCUCGGCGCUCACGAAUUAGAACCAAUCUAAUUAAACGAGCAACAUGGGAGUUGUCGUACACUAUAGCAGGACUGAUACGGUAUAGUAGGACCACAAGGCGAACAAUUCGGACUAUUCGCCAGAAUGCUGGAGGAUCGGUUGAUCAAGCAAAGAGCACCGAUCAUCAAUGAUGGCUAUGUUCUCGCGUUUGCCAGGCAAAUUCGCCUAUUCAUACCGCGUGUACUUCCUGCUCUAUCUCAUCUCACGGGCAUACGUAAUUACGAGCUCGCUUCGUGCAUUGAGAAUUCACUUGGUCACCGCCUGUGCCGGUUCGCUGUUGAUGGCUCUUGCGAGCCAACCUCGUUCUGAAUCAAGGCGAGCACGGCCCAAUCAAGAACGUUUGCGACCGGUGAAUGACUGCGUCGAACGGUGCGCUUGUCAAAGCGCACACCCGAUAUACAAUCGCCGUGAACUUACACUGUUACAAAGCGCGACACAUUGAUGCGUGGACGUGUAUACGUGCAAACACCGGCGCGCGACGACGCAUGUAUACACGUGCGCUGGAGGGUUGAUGGUUACGGGGAGACAUGUAUCUCUUCGUCCGUCCGUCCGUCCAGCUAUAGGCUACAGGCGGGGUGUGACAGAUUUCACGGGACGACGAGCUAACGAAAAACUAGUCGGCUGUGAGGUGGCGAGAGAGCAGAGACUACAUCUACCUUCCCCGUAGCGUCUCCCCUUCUCGUCUCUCUCAUCCCCAGGACACCCUCGCUUGGCAGCCGUACCCGGUCGCUUUUAUCCGACAUUCCCAGCUACCGCCAGCUGCCACGAGCCAGACACUCGGGGUAUCCGGCUCGAGAAAUAUCGCCUGGCCUCCAUCAUAGGCCUGCAACUGUUGCCUUGGUCGUGGUCGAGAUCCCCAAGUUUUCUUACCCAUCAAGGACCUCCCGAGCUCGUCCUAACGAGAAUCCUUGUUGCGCAGUGGAAAAAGGGAGUCCUGGACGUCGUAAGCCGACCCGGUACUCCUCGCUCGCAGUAGUAAAGGCCUUUACGAUCCGCCUGGCCGAUAAUUAGAGAAACGUCCACGCCUCGUCCGUUUUCUCCCGACACGGCUCUCGCGCCAUUUAUUUUGUCCCGCCGACACUGGAUUUGCUACAAAAGUCGUGACUGCUUGUCCUGCGACAAGUUAAGAUCGGCUUACGCUUAAAGUGGCUUUCAACGGCGUAAAACGCAGACAGCUGUCCCGACGCUUUCCAUGCGUUUAAUGUUACUCGACGUUCAAUGCGAUGACGUGUAAUUUUGCGCGGGGAAUUGAAUGUCGGAACGAAACGUAUACAAUAUCCUUUGUGCGCGUACUGAAUAUAUUCUGAGGAGUAAAAAAUUAAAGUGCUUAUAUAAUGUUUUACAUCAUGCUUAAUGCAAUUCGCAAUAACGUGUUUUUUUUUAUUUCGAUGGACAAGCGCACAUGUAAAAAGUGCAUACUCAUACACAAAAUAAUAACCAUCUUUCUCGCUUUCCUUUUUGAGAAAAGCACUUUUAACAAAAGUGAGUAUUUUAACUAACUAUAGCUUUGUUACCAAUAUGUAAAAAUAAUCUGAAGAUUGUACGUCUUCAUUCUUUAUUUCAAAAGAUUGGUAUUUAAGUAUGCUGUAUAGUAUACUGUAUUGUGUCGUAUUAUAACCGAACUGUAUUUAGUACAAACAAGGAAUUCCGGUAUGGCGGUUUGUCCUAUAGGUGACAGCUGCUCGAUCAACGUUCCGGUUUCCUAACACAUAGAGCCCUUUGUACACGCAAUAAGUCUAUCGGGUGUCGUACAGGGUGUUGUACCGGUCUCAAGCGAUUCAGAUUCCGUGUGUCAAUAUGUAACCACUUGAAAUGAAGCGCUGCUUGAUUUAUUGAUCGAUAUGUUCUACCUGUCUCAGAAGCUCGCUUUGCAGCAAACACGAUAUACGUGAUUAGAUCCCGAGAAGCUGAGGAUUAAAGGAGCUUCUCAAACGUGUCUUAUAUGCGAAAAUAUAUAUGCGCGUAAAUACUUUCUAAUUUACUAUAAAUUAUGUAAAAAGAAUGGAAAAUUGAAAAAUGUUUGCGAUAAAACAUAGUUUAUUACACAAUACAUUAAUUUAAACAUGCAUGCUUUUUUAGAUACUUGAAGUAAAAGGUUCUUUUAAGUUUUAUAAAAUUAUUUUAGCAACCUGAUAUUUUUAUCCUGUAUUUUUAUCCCAUAUUUUUGUCCCUUUCAUACAGUUCCUCCCUCAGCUUUGUUUAUCUGCAAGCUCUCAAGACUUUGAAUGCUCAAUCGCUGUUUCAUUGACAGUCGCGCGCAUUCAAGAAAAUCUAUGAAGCACCUGCGUUUCUUAAUCGUCAAAGAGAAAAAGUGAGAGAGAAGUUCGUAGAUAUAAUCUGAUUUAUGUAAUUUUCUCUUCUCAUUCAUUUUGUUCAUACAGCGUGCACCCUUAUCAGUCGCACAGCAGUUCGCGACUUUCAUCAGGUGUAUUAUUGUCUCUUGCUGCGUUUGCGAAUAGCCCGAAAAAUUCAAAAGUCGGCAGAGAUGUCGUAAUUCCACAGAGAGAGAGAUUAAAGAGUGAAGCCGCCUGAGGGAUCCUCCACAGCAAGCAGAAACUGCAUGCACCUUCCUAGCAAAGUUUGAGCAAGUUAGGUAGGAUCUUGUUCUUUUCUCUUAUCGACUAUUUUCGAGCCCAUGUCCUUUUCAAGUGCAUCUGGCAUCUGCGUGCUUCUUCUUCACAUUUCACGUCUCGCAGCAUAACUUUCGUAAUUUCGUCUCUCUAUCGUGAUCUCUUCUUGUCCGUAUGAUAGAAAUCGGUCGCCUAACAUGAGAUGUUUGGAUAGUUCGAAAAGUAAGUUGCGUUGAUUUAAACUUUAAGAAUUUUAAACUUUAAGAAUUUAUUCUUCACAAAUCGGCGAUUCAAACAUUCCGAAUACAAUUCGCAAGAGAAUUAUAGAAACAAGUAAACUGUAAAAAGUGCUUUUUUAAAUAUUAAAAUUAAAAUUUCAUUGUGCACUUUUUUAUAAUAUAAAUUUAUUGUGCACUUUGCUAGAGAAGUAUGUAUUCUGUGUUAUUCGGCAGUGUUAUGUAUACAUAUCUGAAAUACAUUAUUUCGAUAUUUUUAUUUCAAUAUUUUCAACAAUGUUUUACAUAUCUAUAUUUUAUGUGACAAGAUUUUACGAUUUGAUUUCACAUUUGAUAUUUUAAAUUCAAUUAAAUUAUCACGCUGUUUUACAGCGCCACUAUAAUUUAUAUGUUAAUAAAAUUGUACAAUAUUACAGCAUCUCUUGAAUAGUUCGUGAUCGUAAAAUAAAGAGUAGCAAUCUGUAUGACGAAAGCGUUAAAUUUCAUUAGAGAAAGCAUAUAAAACAUAACAUCAAAAAUGCAGUUUGCUGUGUAUCAAGUUAUCGUAUUUACGUUAUUAGCCUUUCUAAUUCUGCAGACUGCUGCUUUUUAUAGCUGCUGAAAAACGCAUUUCUCCGUGCCGAGAAAUUUUUAGCCACCCUUUACCUAACAAUGUUUGGCUCUGAUGUAACUCAACUGUCGUUAUUUUCCUCUUGCAUUCAUAUUAUUGUGGUGGAUUUUUAGAAAAGUUAUAUGACGUAAUUAGUUCAGGGAUUAAAUAUACGCAGACGAUGUGGAAUGUGCUUAUUUAACGCGAAACAGCUCAAAAAGCGUAUAAAUAUUACAUGUAAUAUUUGCUCGCAUAGUUAUGAUAUCAUAAAAAAAUAUCAACGAAGUAUUUUAUCAAGGUAUUAUUUAAACGAAUUAUUUAAAAUCAAUCUGUUAUUUUAUUAUUUUCAAAACCGAUUUUAUAUGUAUGCAUGUAUGCGUGCCUCUAUACAUGUAUCUAUGUAUACAUGAUAUAAAAAUUUAUAAAAGUAAUAAAAGAUGACUAAUAAAAGAUUCGGUUAUUUUAUCAAUUUUAACAACUUUGCUCAGAGAAUGAUUUAUUCAUAAUUUAAUGUAAAUUAUGGUUUAUAUUAUUUAUUGCUCAUAAAUGUAUUUCACACGGUUUAACACAGAAUCUUGUCGAGCGUUAGGAUCAUGAAUAUUAUGAACUGAUCAUUAACGCCCAGCGGCGUAUCCAUCUGGAAAAACAGAAUCAAUUUUUCCUCGUCGUCAUGUAAUGCAGUUUACGCGACGCUAUUAAAAAAGUUAUUUCGCGUCCAGCGACGUUGAAUACACGUCUGAUCCUUCAACGUCCGACGAAAUCAUAUCACCUGAAUUUACUCCGAUUUGACCGCUCCGCGAACCUUCUGAUUAGCGCUUUGACUAGUGAUCCGAUUAUCCGUUGAUUGCAUCCUCGAUGUCACUGUCAUGCAGCCGGCUAGAAAAAGAAAUAUGACACGUCCGAGCAUCUUUAAUAUGCUUAACGUCUUUAACGUUCUCGGACUCCUUUCGCAUCGUUAUCCACUCGCACGUUCGCUUACUAAUCGGAUGCUCUCAGAGUAGUCGAGAUGUUUCUUUUUUCUCGUUUUGCUGUAUGAGCUCGAUUGUACAAAACGUAUCAAGUUGAAUUAAGUAAAACAAGAGUUUCCGAGCAAUUUAAAAGUUCUUCCGGUAACUAUCGGCAGCGUCACGUUACUUGCGACUGAGCCUGUGUUAAAGCUACUGUCACGAACUGUGUCCCUUUUCAAAGAAAGUCCGAAAGUCGUCCUAACGACACGGUCGCGUGGAUCAGUCGCGAACAUUUUUCUUCCCGUCCUUCUGCAUUUAUCCGGUUACCUCGAUUUUUUACAACGCCGGAAGGGACGAAGAGCAAAGAGACAUCGAUCAAAAGUAGAAAUUGGCUGUGAUCAUAAAAACUUUGUUCACUGACGAAGUUCGCUCUAAGAUUUCACAGGAAAUAACUAUGCAAAAUAAUGUAUGGUUAUUAAAGCAAUUAACAUAAGAUAAUUGCUCCUGAAAAAAUACAUGGCACAAAAGUUGUUAGAAAUGCAAAUAACGCUAGAGAAUUCUUUGUUAAGUGACGUUGAUUAUAAUCGGGAUAAUGUUUUGUUGGAAAUUACAAAGCAAAACUAUAAUUACUUCGAGCACGAUGAAAGUACUAAAUGGGUGUAAUGAGCUUUCCAGCUUGUAAAUUAGUUAUUAGCUGCCAACGGGAAAGAGGAUUUCGGAAUAAGCUCUGAAAUAAGAGAGAGCUUAACAAAUUCAAUAAAAGAGUAUAGUCUUAUGCGUCGUGUUAAUUUUCCGUCGUGUGUAAUGCAUCCUACGUCGGAAACUUUUGUUUUAACAAGUUGACAAUUUCAUAAAAAAAUUUCAAAAUAAUAUAUUAUAUUAUAAAUAUUAUUCGUGGAGGAUAGCUAUUUCUGUAGCGUAUUAUAAAUUGCUUAAAAUGGACUAACUCUUCUUAACUAAUAUUUAAAUAAAUUUUCGUAUUUCAGAUGAUUAAAUAAAUGUUUGUUUUUUUUAUUUGUAUUGUAUAUAGACUAGACUAUAAUCUAAAAAGAAUAUCGCAAAUUAUUAAAUAAUUUAACGAGAAUUGAUGUGCUUAGGCUGUAGACCGUCCAAAUAUUAACACAUGCUUUUCUUUGUGAUAUUUCACUCUGAAAUAUUCUUAUUUUUUUAUUCAAUCUGCCAGCCAGAAAGAUCUAACUGCGAAAGGGUAAGACGAAAGCUUUCCGAAAAAGUUAAGGAUAGAUUCGUAAUGAAGCGGAUCAGAAGGUCUGCAGACUAAACGACGACCUAAGAACUCUCUCAGGUCACCUUGAAGACAACAAUAGCUUGCUCUACUCGAUCCUCUGCUUUACGAUUAUGGAGAAAUGCAUCGCCCAAACCGUCCAGUAGGACACUCCCUCGCGUCCGUUCAUUAACGUCUGCGGCAGGGAUAACGCUGAUGCUGCUGUUGCUGUUGUUGCUGCCGUCGCCAUCGAGCUUACCCCCGUGUUAACCCCCGUACAGCAUUCGCGAUUCGACAAAUACGAUUACCUGCUCUCACCCUCUGAUGCCCAAGUUGGGCUGAACCGAGUAGUGCUUGUGGAUGUACAAACUUGUCCUAGAUAUCGGGGUUCAACCCUUUAACUCCUCUCUCUUCUUUUUUCUUUCUGGCUUUCUCUUUUCCCUCUCGUUUUCUCUGUCUCUGUCUUUCUUUCUUCCUCUCAUCGUUGCAAGCCUUCCGCACCAAACUUUUUGAGGCUCCCCUCAGUAAUCCGUCGAGUUCCGGCGGCGUGCAAUCGGUUAUCUCAUCUCCUUCAUUCUCCUUCUUCUUCUCUCCCUCUCUCUUUUCUCUCCUUCUUCCAUCUUUUAUAAUAUUUAUUUUCUCAUUCUUCCUUAUUUUUUAAAUCUCGAUUGUCAAUUAUCCGCGAAAAGACAUUUAUGUUACAACCUCCGUUACGUUUCGCUCGUUGUUACACGUCCAGUUGAUUUUUUAAUAUCAUCUUGGAGUGAUCAAUGUGGCUAAGAAAAUUCAUUAUAAUACGGAAGCCCGACCAGGAAGAUCUUAUACAUGUAUUUGGUUGCACAAUUAAGAAUCUAAAUGUAUUUAAUUAUCCCUUUUCUCUCUAUUGUUUUAUUUAAUUUAUUUAUGUCCCUUCUCAUGUGUUACUACUUGAUAUAGAAGAUUACUCGGUAAUAGGAGCACUUCGCAAGAUCACAUGUUACAUUUUGUAGAAUAUCAUUACUCGACGCGGGAGUUAUCUCAUAACGCGUCCUGUAGUUGUAAUUGUAAUUAUGUUUUGUAAUUGCGCUUCGAUACUUUGUUGAACACUAUUAACGCGUACGUCGUCAACGUAGCGUGUAGCCGGCCAAACUUUUAGUUCUGUAUAAGUGUCAAAUAUGCACGACAAGUUAAUUUACUCAACUUAAUACCGUGUUUCCGUCUGCUUACUCGCCACGUUGAAUAUUGUCGCGUCCAACUUUGGUGAAAUUGCGUAUUAUCUCGCGCAGAACUGAUCGUAGAGUUUACAUGACUAUGCGCACAGGGGAGAACAAGUCCACGCGACAUGAGAAAAUAACCACAUAUAUAGGCUUAGCGCAUCGACUUUGAAUCUUUCUCCCUUUCUUUGCUUCAUCCAUCAUACCACUUAUCGUCCUGUAAUUAUCCUGUCAGUCAUUCAUAGCACCCCUAUAUUCCAUUACGUGUUUCGUGUUUUCAUUUCGCGGCACCCAACAACAUACGUCUAUCAUCGAAACGCUUUUGAUAAACGUCUUGAGAUUCUUACAAAAGUAAUGUAUCUGGGUUAUUCUAACAAGAUCUCUCGUGCUCGUUGUAUCAAACAUUGCAAUUUAUGUUAAUUAAAUGCAUAUCUAAUUAUAAAAUGAUAAAUAACAAUAUUUUGUAGAAAUUAAAAUCUGCGUUUUGUUUCAAUAUUGCUAAUGUAGCUCCAUUAGUAAAUUUAGCGCAAUUUACAAUUAGUAAAUUUCACUUUGUAUUAUAAACAGUAUGCUGAAUCGCACGCGUGUGUUCAUUUGCAGAAAGGUAGUAUAUCCUGGCUAUUUUUACUUUCUGUGACAGCGUACAUGUAAUUAUCAUUAUAUAUUAAUAUAUAAUUCAUACAUAUUCAUUAUGUGUAUUUAUAUAUAAUAAUUAAUAAUUCACACAUAUAGUGUACUAGUUAAUUAUUUCGCGUAGAAUUUAAUGAACGCUUUGGGCUAUUGCCCAACUGUCUGCUCAAAUCUGCCACGCGAUAAUGAUGCAGCAAAAUAUAUAGUCUCAUGAAUCACGGUUUAUUACACGUCAAGAAAAUUUUUGGUGGAUCAGAAUGUGUUGUUCUAACUCAUUAAAUUUUAAUAGCCUUACUAAUAGACUUUCAUUAAGUAAAUAAUAAAAUAAAAAUUUUUAAUUAGAUUCAAAGUUAACUUCGUUAAUUUUCUCAACUUCUUAAAAGAAGGUGAAUUAUAUCUUUAUUGUACUCUUCUCUUUUCUUCCUUUCAUUGUAUCAGAAGCUUUAUUUCCAUAACAAACGUAACGAGGAACCGUUUCUUCGGAUAUCUCGACAUUUCCGGCAAUUAAGAAGGGAAUUCACUGGGAGAGCAGUUUUCGUAUAACGAAGCCAAACGACCGGUAGACCGCGAUCCGCAACUUGCUGCGCAUACAAGCUGAUUAUGCAACCGAGAGCGAGGGCUCUCGUUGACUGCUUAGCGCAUAAUGCAGCGCAGUGGACCGAGGACGCGGAAUACGCGGGAUGGCAUGUUCAAUAAGCGGCGUUUUAAUUUGCUAUCGAUUGCUAAGGCAAUGCCGCGGAUUAUCAGGGAGAGAUCAUACGUAGCUCAACAAUUCCAUUGCGUAACAACCGCUCGGCGUACAUAUGCGCACGCGGUGCACCCUGCAUACUUGCUUUGGGCAACAGCACUGCUAAUUACAUUCGACUUCCCCGUACGUCGUCGUCGUAUAACGCAGUUAUUAUCAACCGGUUAGCACACUUUCCCACGUAGCCAGCUGAAAAUGACAUUUUCAUCAAGGACCCUUUCUCGAGAAUCUUUGAAGAAUAUCAGUCAGAAACAUGUAAUUGCUUAAGACACUUGCUCGUGUUAUUCUCGGGGAAAUCUUUGAACGAGCAAAGUCAACAGUUGUACAUAUAGAUAUAAUUAUCUAUUAUUUAUAAUAAUUUAUAAUAGAUAAUAAAUAUCGAUAACUAUUAAUUACUCUCUUUAAUAUUAAUUAUUCCUAUCUUCUGUUGUCACAUAAAUCGAAUUUAGAACCUUUAUAAUAUUAUAUAGUACCUUAUAUAUCACUGCCUCUUCCGUUAUUGGAAAAUUAUAUUCAAGCGUUCACGCUUAUUUUCAAAAAAAAUACUGUAUGUCUAUAAAUAUUACACUUGUGUAAAUAACAGUAGUCUGUAUCUGCUAGAGUCUUGCUACGAAAUCGUGACACCUAUUCUUUUUAAGUAAUAUUUUCCUAUUUGGUUUGUCAGUUAAUCUAUUUGGGGUGAAUAUUGGACGAAGAGAGAAAGACCUGGCCGACAAACGACGUUUUAAUUUCAUAUCGAUUAGAAACCCCAGGGCAGAUUACAGGCGGAUCGCGUGGGCCAAUAGUUUCAUCGACACGACGGAUAUAGUAGGGCUUAGCUUUAUACGAGGUAAACGGGUGACAAAGCAUGUUUCUCGAACGAUGAGUACUGUGUAACAGGGUAAUUAAGGUCGCAGGUGCAUUAAACGGAGAAACACGAUGCAGCUUUUUCGAGCCUACGUUCACACAGCGCGUUUAUUGAUGUAUUGUCAAGGUAAAAGAUCGGGAAAACUUUGAAGUCUCAAUUCACGCUGGAUGCGUUUAAUAAUCGUGCGCUAUAAAAAUUAUUGAUGAAAAAGAAUUAGCUUUGUGCGGUCAUGAUAUAACUGAUAUCUCGUUUUUUUUAUAAUUGGUUGAUAUUAGUAACGCUAUUUUAGAUAUACAAUGUUUUUAUUCGUCUUUUCUGAAAUGGAGACUGUAGUUUUAGGUAGAAUAAAUCACGAAAUAUUCAUUUUGAAAAAUUAUGCAUGUUUAUGUUAGGUGCAUGUUAUAUUUUUAGUUUAAGUGAUAUCGGGUGAGAUGUGAGUAUACAUUACAUUAUCUAUUAUGAUUGUGAAUUACGUUACUAAGAAAUCUUUCGCAUUUGGCAUGUCGACGAAUGAAGAUUGAAUCAAUUUGUGAGUCGUGUUAUAUUGCAUCGAUGAAACUGUAUUGCCAACAUUUGAUUAUCUGAACCGCAGAAGUUGACAAUACGCGAUUGGAUCAACUAUCUCUUUCUCAAUUACUCACGUACAAUCGAAAAAAAAGAACGAAUAUUUGUUCCAAAAAAAUAACGAAAAAUCAGACAGAAAAACGAAUCUGCAAUGCGUUUAUUUAUACUCUAGUGAAAAAACAUGACAGUUUAUAUUCGAAAUUUAGUAAUUGCACCAAAUUAGGGCAAUAUAGAACAUAUCAUGUAUGAAUGUUAUUAUUGGAUAUUAUUAUCCCUCUAAUAUUAAACAAAUAUUAUUUCUGUAAAUAAAAUGUAUCUUAUAUAGUAA